AGUGCACGCUGGCGGCGUGCCUAAUACAUGCAAGUCGAACGGAGUGGCGCCCGGGUGAGUAAAGUAUCGCUAAUCUGCCCUACACUAGAGGACAACAGUUGGAAACGACUGAUAAUACUCUAUAGUGUAGGAUGAGGCUAUAUUGUCUCAGCUAGUUGGUGAGGUAAUGGCUCCCCAAGGCUAUGACGCAUAACUGGUCUGAGAGGAUGAUCAGUCACACUGGAACUGAGACACGAGCCAGACUCCUACGGGAGGCAGCAGUAUGGAAUAUUGCUCAAUGGGGGAAACCCUUAAGGAGCAACGCCGCGUGGAGGAUUACACUUUUCUGAGCGUAAACUCCUUUUGUUCGGUAAGCGGUACCUAACGAAUAAGCACCGGCUAACUCCGUGCCAGCAGCCGCGGUAAUUC
rnacentral:rRNA from 1 species